rnacentral:rRNA from 1 species
GAUGAACGCUAGCGGCAGGCCUAACACAUGCAAGUCGAGGGGUAGGAAGAGCUUGCUUUUCUGAGACCGGCGCACGGGUGCGUAACGCGUAUACAAUCUACCUUGUACAGGGGGAUAGCCCAGAGAAAUUUGGAUUAAUACCUCAUAGUGUUAUUGAGUGGCAUCACAUGAUAACUAAAGUUCCAACGGUACAAGAUGAGUAUGCGUCCCAUUAGUUAGAUGGUAAGGUAACGGCUUACCAUGACAAUGAUGGGUAGGGGUCCUGAGAGGGAGAUCCCCCACACUGGUACUGAGACACGGACCAGACUCCUACGGGAGGCAGCAGUGAGGAAUAUUGGACAAUGGGGGCAACCCUGAUCCAGCCAUGCCGCGUGCAGGAUGACGGUCCUAUGGAUUGUAAACUGCUUUUAUACAGGAAGAACCCCUUCUUUGCGAAGAAGACUGACGGUACUGUAAGAAUAAGGAUCGGCUAACUCCGUGCCAGCCGCCACAGUAACAC